GGGCCGCUAGCUCAAUUGGCAGAGCAGUACCCUCUUAAGGUAACGGUUCCGAGUUCGACUCUCGGGCGGCUCA
rnacentral:tRNA from 1 species